rnacentral:rRNA from 1 species
UACAGAGACUGCAAGCGUUAUUCGGAUUCACUGGGCGUAAAGGGUGCGCAGGCGGCCGUGUGUGUCAGGUGUGAAAGCCCGGAGCUUAACUCCGGAAUUGCGCCUGAAACUACAUGGCUAGAGCAUUGGAGAGGGAAGUGGAAUUCACGGUGUAGCAGUGAAAUGCGUAGAUAUCGUGAGGAACACCAGAGGCGAAGGCGACUUCCUGGACACAUAUUGACGCUGAGGUGCGAAAGCGUGGGGAGCAAACAGG